rnacentral:lncRNA from 1 species
AAUUAAUAGCUAAUGGUUGGUGCUAUUAUUAUUCCAUUCAAAUGGUUUUGAAACAACCAAUUAAUAGCUAAUUGUUGGUGCUAUUUUUAUUCCGUUCAAGUGGUUUUGAAACCAAAUAAUAAUUGUUUAUGGGAUUUUUUUUGCCCAUUAAAAUAAUUAUUGUCUUCAAAAAAAAAUUGUGGAUCUAAUUAUUCUCUCUUUUUAUUUUUUUUAAAAUGACCUUAGAAUUAUUUCAAUUGAGUUAAUGAACCUAUCGCGCCGUUCGUGAACUUUAAAUGAGCCGAACUUGAGCUAAAAAAAAGGUUCGUGUCGAACUCAAGUCGAGUUUCGAGCCGAACCAUUU